GGAGGGGGUUAGCGUUGUUCGGAAUUACUGGGCGUAAAGCGCGCGUAGGCGGAUUAGAAAGUUGGGGGUGAAAUCCCGGGGCUCAACCUCGGAACUGCCUCCAAAACUGCUAGUCUAGAGUUCGAGAGAGGUGAGUGGAAUUCCGAGUGUANAGGUGAAAUUCGUAGAUAUUCGGAGGAACACCAGUGGCGAAGGCGGCUCACUGGCUCGAUACUGACGCUGAGGUGCGAAAGUGUGGGGAGCAAACAGGAUUAGAUACCCUGGUAGUCCACACCGUAAACGAUGAAUGCCAGUCGUCGGGUAGUAUACUAUUCNGUGACACACCUAACGGAUUAAGCAUUCCGCCUGGGGANUACGGUCGCAAGAUUAAAACUCCAAGGAUUUGACGGGGGCCCGCACAAGCCGUGGAGCAUGUGGUUUAAUUCCAAGCAACGCCAAAAACUUACCACCUUUGACUCCCUGUUGCUACAUCCAGAAAUGGAUUGGUCCC
rnacentral:rRNA from 1 species